rnacentral:rRNA from 1 species
CCUACGGGAGGCAGCAGUGGGGAAUAUUGCACAAUGGGGGAAACCCUGAUGCAGCGACGCCGCGUGAGUGAAGAAGUAAUUCGUUAUGUACAGCUCUAUCAGCAGGGAAGAAAAUGACGGUACCUGAGUAAGAAGCCCCGGCUAACUACGUGCCAGCAGCCGCGGUAAUACGUAGGGGGCAAGCGUUAUCCGGAUUUACUGGGUGUAAAGGGAGCGUAGACGGCAGUGCAAGUCUGGAGUGAAAGGCGGGGGCUCAACCCCCGGACUGCUCUGGAAACUGUACGGCGUGAGUGCAGGAGAGGUAAGUGGAAUUCCUAGUGUAGCGGUGAAAUGCGUAGAUAUUAGGAGGAACACCAGUGGCGAAGGCGGCUUACUGGACUGUAACUGACGUUGAGGCUCGAAAGCGUGGGGAGCAAACAGGAUUAGAUACCCCAGUAGUC